UACGUACCGGACAAACGUUAUUCGGAAUCACUGGGCUUAAAGAGUACGUAGGCUGCCAUGAAGGUGAGAUGUGAAAUCCGACGGCUCAACCGUCGAACUGCAUUUCAAACCACAUGGCUUGAGGGAGACAGGGGUAAGCGGAACUCACAGUGGAGCGGUGAAAUGCGUUGAUAUUGUGAGGAACACCGGUGGCGAAGGCGGCUUACUGGGUCUUUUCUGACGCUGAGGUACGAAAGCUAGGGUAGCGAACGGG
rnacentral:rRNA from 1 species